UUGAAAUAUUUAAUAUAAAGAGUCUGGCCUGCCCGGUGACAAAAAUUUAACGGCUGCAACGAGAGUUGUGCUAAGGUAGCGUGAUAAGUUGUCCUUUGAUUGGGGACUGGUAUGAAUGGCUUGACGUAGAAUGACUAUUUUUAUAGAAUAAAGUAAACUUUCCUUCUGAGUGAAAAGGCUUAGGUUUUUGUAAAAGACGAGAAGACCCUGUCGAGCUUGAUUAUAGUUUUACUAGGAAGUGUAAAAUUAAAACUUUUAUUGGGGCAAUAAAAAUCAAAAUAGCGUUAAGGUGUAAGCGAAGAUCCUUUUUGAGAGAAAACCGGAAAAAGCUACCGCAGGGAUAACAGCGUUAUCCCUUUUAAGAGAUCAAAUUGAGAAAGGGGUUUGCGACCUCGAUGUUGGAUUAUAGAAACCUUAUGGUGCAGCAGCUAUAAUUGUGAGACUGUUCGUCUUUUAAU
rnacentral:rRNA from 1 species